GGCAGACGCGGUGAGUAAUAGCGUGGGAAUCUACCCAACUCUACGGAACAACUGAAGUGAAACUUCAGCUAAUACCUGUAUACGCCCUACGGGGGAAAGAUUUAUCGGAGUUGGAUGAGCCCGCGUUGGAUUAGCUAGUUGGUGGGGUAAUGGCCUACCAAGGCGACGAUCCAUAGCUGGUCUGAGGGGAUGAUCAGCCACACUGGGACUGAGACACGGGUCCAGAUCUCAUACGGGAGGCAGCAGUGGGGAAUAUUGGACAAUGGGCGAAAGCCUGAUCCAGCCAUGCCGCGUGAGUGAUGAAGGCCUUAGGGUUGUCAAAGCUCUUUCAGUGGGGAAGAUAAUGACGGUCCCACAGAAGAAGCCCCGGUAACUUCGUGCCAGCCGC
rnacentral:rRNA from 1 species